rnacentral:tmRNA from 1 species
GGGGGCGUAAAGGUUUCGACGGGGAUUCUGAAGUGUGAUAAGCGAGCGGAGCUGCGGUGUAAUCUCCUUAAACUGCACCACGUUUAAAUAUAAACGCUACAAAUAAUAUUUCAGUAUCUAGCAAUAGAGCACUGGUAGCUGCUUAAGUCAGCUUCUGUCCUGUGAUUGAGUACCGUGGCUUUCACAUGGGCAUCGACUAACGGUGAACGAUCCUGCGGAGUGUCCGUUCCGCUUGAUUGUAUUCGGACUACCUGAGUUCUCAGCCCGUUUAUCGGCGGUCCUCUCAGGGAACUAAAAAAGGUAAAAUACGCUCGUAGAAAGUUGCAUGGAUGGGUUUUCGGACAGGGGUUCAAUUCCCCUCGCCUCCACCA